CUCUCUCCCCCUGUAAGUGUUUGCAUCCCAAUAUAAGACUUUUAGACUGCAGAUUCUCCAUACAGGUAUCGGGAAAUUAAGCCUACAGGUUUACAUGCCUUUAUCUUCUUGCUUCUUCUCUUCUUCCAGCCUCUUCUUUUGUCGUUUUUCAUGGCCAGAAAGAUAUUUUCGUUUCUUGUCAGACAUCGUCGGAGUAACUGACUGACAGACACUGACCAGGUGACGAGUGACAUCAUAGGGGUCAGUCAGGGUCAAGAUUCGCGGGGAACUCGCCAUAAUAAAGAACUAAAUAAAUAACAACUGUGCUUAUCAUGAUGCCUGAUAAGAGCGCUGUAGGUAGCUAGCAGUGACUCUAGGGGCCCUCUGCUGGCCACGGGGCCUUUGCAAUUGCAAAGGUCGCUUAGUGGCUUGGCCGGCUCUGAUUCUACCCUCAACAAAUCAUUUCAGAUGACAGAGAAAUCACCUUGCAUGUUUGCAUGCAAAAAAAAAUAAAAAUAAAAAAAUUCAGCAGACAAAUUACAGCAGGCAAAAUUUACUUUCAUGGUCACACAGAAAAUCUAUUUACAAUAAAAGAGAAGUAAUGAAAUGCACCUCUUCCCCCGAACCCAACAGAUUUUUUUGAAUACCUUAAUAGCAAUGUGGACUACAUCCUUCAGAAUUCUUACACAGAGAGAAUGCUGAUUUGUAUGAGCUAAUUGAUGAGUUUGGAUGGACAGUUUGAAGGGUGUAUAACAGUUGACAAUGACAGUUUGAACUUUUGAAUACCUUAAUAGCAAUGUGGACUACAUCCUUCAGAAUUCUUACACAGAGAGAAUGCUGAUUUGUAUGAGCUAAUUGAUGAGUUUGGAUGGACAGUUUGAAGGGUGUAUAACAGUUGACAAUGACAGUUUGAACUUGCAUAAGAAGUAAAAUAUUCACAGUAUUACAAUUGUACUUUGUUAGAACUGUAUUCCCUCCACACUACAUCACAUGUGUACAUUAAAUAUGUAUUUAUCUUAAAGGUCUCUCCACUUUACACAUAGUGGUGUUGUUGCUGUGUGGUCUUGCCUUUGGAUCUGCAUCUCUGCUGGGCUGCCUAGUUUGGCGUAAAUUUAAUUCAGAAGAUUUUCAUGGUUUUUCAGUUCUUCGUUGGUCAUUUCAUUUGCUCCCAACCCUGUUUAUGGUGAUUGCCUUCAUUAUUUGGGGUUUCAUUGAUGGUGCCCUAAAUGAAGUGAUCAGUUGCUCAGCUCUUAAUUUACUACGACCUCUUCUGCUGAUUGUAACUGUUCCACAAGAAGUUACAGGUAUGUCUUUAAAAAGAAAUUAUGAUGCCUUAUCAUGAUGCCUGAUAAAGAGUCGCUGUAGGCCCAUUUCUUUUUAUUUUAUUUAUUUUAUGUUACUUUUGUAUGUAUGAUUUUUUUUCUACCCACUAGCUAGCAGUGACUCUAGGGGGCCCUCUGCUGGCCACGGGGCCCUUUGCAAUUGCAAAGGUCGCUUAGUGGCUUGGCCGGCUCUGAUUCUACCCUCAACAAAUCAUUUCAGAUGACAGAGAAAUCACCUUGCAUGUUUGCAUGCAAAAAAAAAUAAAAUAAAAAAUUCAGCAGACAAAUUACAGCAGGCAAAAUUUACUUUCAUGGUCACACAGAAAAUCUAUUUACAAUAAAAGAGAAGUAAUGAAAUGCACCUCUUCCCCCCGAACCCAACAGAUUUUUUUGAAUACCUUAAUAGCAAUGUGGACUACAUCCUUCAGAAUUCUUACACAGAGAGAAUGCUGAUUUGUAUGAGCUAAUUGAUGAGUUUGGAUGGACAGUUUGAAGGGUGUAUAACAGUUGACAAUGACAGUUUGAACUUGCAUAAGAAGUAAAAUAUUCACAGUAUUACAAUUGUACUUUGUUAGAACUGUAUUCCCUCCACACUACAUCACAUGUGUACAUUAAAUAUGUAUUUAUCUUAAAGGUCUCUCCACUUUACACAUAGUGGUGUUGUUGCUGUGUGGUCUUGCCUUUGGAUCUGCAUCUCUGCUGGGCUGCCUAGUUUGGCGUAAAUUUAAUUCAGAAGAUUUUCAUGGUUUUUCAGGUAAAUAUUACUGUUCACUAUAUUGAAUUUAAAAUUAAAAAACAGUGAAUUGGGUAAUUAAAAUGCCAUCACAGUUUAAUCUAGGUGAACAUUAUUUUGUUUCUUAGUUCUUCGUUGGUCAUUUCAUUUGCUCCCAACCCUGUUUAUGGUGAUUGCCUUCAUUAUUUGGGGUUUCAUUGAUGGUAAGUAGUCUAUUUUAUUUAAUUUCCAGAAUGGUGAACUUAAAUGACUUAACAGUACUUUGCUCCAGGUAUAAAAGUUAAAAUAAGCAUACUGAAUUAGAUUUCCCACAUCUCCUGCAUUCACGUGUCAGUUUGUCAGCACCUGACAGUCACGGUUCAGACUCUGCUGGCUAGUAAACUGCAUGAACACAAUGGAUAUGUAAGCAAAAAUUAAACAAGAAAAAAGUCAGUAAAAUUGUUUUGUUUUGUUUUUUACCACAAAAACUAAACAACCUAACAAAAUAGUAGUCUGAUAAAUUAUUCCAAGUCCUUCACACAUGUCCAAUUUCACAUGGUGCAAUAUUCAUUGGAGAUGCACUGUAAUUACCCGUGUGUUGUCUUUAAGUCAAAUGUGAGGGGGUUUUAAGUUGAUUAAUUUUUUUUUUUUUUUUUUUGUACUGUCCAUUGUAUUAGCUCAUCUUCACUCUUAAAGGGAUCACUUACCCGCAUGUCGUUCAACCCGUAAAAGCUCCAUUCGUCUUCAGAACACAAUUUGUAAGAUAUUUUGGAUGAAAACAGGGAGGCUUGAGACUGUCCCAUUGACUGAUAAAUAAUAACAGUGUCAAGGUCCAGAAAAAGUAUGAAAAGCAUCGUCAGAAUACUCCAUCUGUCAUCAGUGAUUCAACCGUAACGUUGUGAAGAGACGAGAAUACUUUUUGUACACGAAAAAACAAAAAUAACGACUUUAUUCAACUAUUCCUCUCCUCUGUGUCUCUCCACAUCACCGUAGCACCGUUUUGGCAAUUCUGAGCAAUAUGCAGGCGGCAUACAGUCUUCUGUGUCAGCCACACCACAAGGAUACAUUUUUUACGUGUAUUUACGCUUUGGUUUGAAAGAAAACAACGCAUCGGCGCAGCGUGCACGUAAGCCAUCUGCGUACAGCUCAGAUUUGCCAAAAUGGCGCUAAUUAGCUUGCUGGCUAACAAUUAGCAUGCAGUCCCAACCUCAAAACUAACAAAAUGCAGGAAAUAUUAUAGUUCUACCACUAAUAGAAAGAAUUAAAUCUUACAGUUAUCUUAUUUUCAAAAUUUACAUUUGUUUUGAAAGUAAAACUCAAAAUAAAUGUAAGAAAGUGAAUGUUAAAAAUAAAAUUGCCUUUGCUCAUUUAUGUGAUGUUUUUUUUUUUUUUAUUACUUCUAGGUAGGUCCCUAAACCUUAGUAAGUAGGUAUACUACGUUGGUCUCCUAGCUCUUAACCUAUUUAGUUUUAGUAAAGUAAAAACUACUAAAAUAAAAUAGUAAGUAAAAGUGUAAAUAGUUUAAAAAUUAAAAUUGUCCUUUGUCUCUAUUUAUGUGUAUGUUUUUUUUUUUUAUUCUCAGGUGCCCUAAAUGAAGUGAUCAGUUGCUCAGCUCUUAAUUUACUACGACCUCUCUGCUGAUUGUAACUGUUCCACAAGAAGUUACAGGUAUGUCUUUAAAAGAAAUUAUGAUGCACAAUUUCUUAAUAAUUUCAGAAGAAUUUAUGAUCCAACAGAUGUGAAAAAUUUGUCACCUUUGACCUCUGCUUCCCCUCUCCACCUGUUGAUAUAAAGGCUGUUUAUGACGCUAUCCCAUGUAUGACAAGGAUGUGAUUAUGA
rnacentral:lncRNA from 1 species